ACUUGUGUCCAGUCAAGCCCUCUCAAAGCAUCAAUGGGAAACAUGAUACUUUGGAUUCAACCUGUUUUAUUGUUAGCAGUCUUCAGAGGUGUACAAUCUGAGAUCCAGCUGGUGGAGUCUGGAGGGGAUGUUGAAAGGCCUGGACAGUCCCUCCGCCUCUCCUGCCAUACCUUCGGGUUUUCCUUCAGCAGGUAUCCAAUGAGCUGGAUUCGACAGGCUCCUGGAAAGGGUUUAGAAUGGGUGGCCUAUAUAAGUACAGCUUCAACUCCCAUUUACUAUUCGGAUUCGGUGAAAGGGCGCUUCACAAUCUCCAGAGAUGAUUCACGCAGCCUGAUGCAUUUACAAAUGAACAGCUUGAAACAGGAGGAUACGGCUCUCUAUUACUGUGCGAGGCGCACAGUGAAGGGAAGCGAUUCGGAGGUUAAGCAAAAACCUCCUGCUGCAGCCUUUUGGAAUGUGGUACCUGUGGUGGCUUACUGA